AUACUAACCUGGCGCAGGGGAUACCAUGAUCAACGAGGUGGUUCCCCCAGGACUGAGGCUAAUUGCUGAAGCCUGUAAGUACUCCUAAAGCGAGUAUUUGUGCGUUUAAUUUUUGCUAGUGCGUGUGGGGUACGUG
rnacentral:snRNA from 1 species